CCCAGGCUGGGCCCUUUGACAAGGCGGAGGCGGGAGGAGGAGGCUCGGGACCGAGAGGAGCUCAGAAGUCUGGCAGGCUAAUCCAGGGCUCAGGGCGAGCUUGUUCCGGCCCUAAUGAGACUCCCGGGCAUCAGCCAGGCCUGCUUUGUCUCCGGCGGAUGGGGAGGAGGGUACAGGAAGCUGACAAAAGAAAGGAUUGGUGAUUCCGCCUGCCUGGACUCCCUCCCGGUUCUGCCACGCAGAAUAGUCCCGAAUCCAGGUGCCGGCAGCGCCCUCGGACUUUCCAGCCUCCAGAACCCUGUGCCAAAUAAACUUCUGCUCUGUAUGAA